GUGGUUUGACAAACUAUUACAUCUGUGUGAAAUUUGUUUUCUCCAGACAAGUUCUGCCUCUGGCUUUGGCUUUCCCUUUUCUCAUUAUGUAAUUCCUAAGGGAAUUUCAUCCCUUUGGUUCUGUUAUUUCAAAAUUAUGAUGUCUCUUUAGGAUAUCUGCAUCGCUGGUUAUCUUGUAGAGGAGCAGGAUGGGAGGAAAACAAGAGUAAGAGGAGGAAAAGAAGACAGGGAGGAGGAGGAAGAGGAGGAGGAGGAAGUGGGUGGAUGGGAUGAUGCCAAAAGAUGAUGAAAGUCAAUAGCCUUGUUAGAAGAAAGACCCUGUGUAUAAUCCAAUCCCCGCUUCCAUGUUUCUAGCACACCCUAAACUCUCAGAGCCCUCCAACAUGUUUUCUAGAGUGUGUAAGUGUUGCUUUUAUUUCCUCAGAUGAAUAGAUGAGAGCAGUACUAUGCCCACAUAUGUGAAUACAUGGCUUGAGCUGACCCAAAGCAUUUCUAUCUACCACUAAUGAGCAUAGGCAUGGGAAGCUUCUAGCCUCUAUGCAAUCUCAACUUCUGAAAGCCCACACCUUAAAGUCUUCGGCUUCAAGACAGGGCUAAGAGUAUUUUAAGUGGCUGGGGCUUACUGUUGAAUAAGCUUGCUCUUUCACAGCUCUGGCUACGUGGUUCAGCUCACCUGUCCUGUCUCAAGUUCCUCUGAAAGCUGACUGACUCAAUCUAGCCUUUCUCAUCUUCUCUCUGAAUUACUAUGGCUAUGCUUCAAACUAACUCUGGAAAUUUGUCCUAAUCUUCUAGCUUCUUAUUCCCUGGCUUCAACUGUUGACCUGCACUGAACUUUAUGACCUCACAGAGGAACUCAACUCUACUGUUCUGCACUCCCUGCACUGCCUCCCAACUGACUCAACUCCCAAUUCACCACUGAAUUGACUAAAUUUACUCUCUUUCCCUCUGCUGCUCUUAAAUAUCUUUUCUCCCAAGAGUUGGGUAUAUCCUAUCUCUGACUCAUUCCCUAAAAUCUAUCUCUGAUUCAUCACUUUGUCUGCCCUUCUAUCAGAUAUUAUUGUUUGGGAUUAAAGAUGUGAAACAAAGGAUUCCAACCAGAUGGUUGAAAGAUAUUUUCGUGUCAAGUUUCCUCUGAGCUACCAGAGGGAACACUUGCUGGUCUGUCUUCCUAUACUAAACAUUACCAUCUACCAUCUAGCAAUAGGAUAGUCAAUGGAUGUUUGCUGAAUCAAGAGAAGGUUAUGGAUUUCUUUAUCUCAAAACAAAAAUGAGUCAUUUCCCUGACUGUCAGAAGAUGGUCUCUCGAGACAAUAUGUCAUAAAAGGAGGCCAUAGAUUCAAUCUGCGCAGAGUUCUGAGUGUCGCCUCAGAUACGAAGACUUGUCAUCCGUCUUUAUCAGGUUAUUCCUGAUUACCUAUGUGCCAAGAUAAUAUAUGAAAAUUGAAGAAAGCACAAGUGGGAAAUGGAGAAUAUGAAGGCUUUAUGUGCAAAAGUUUGACAAGAAUCAACAUAUAACUUAGUAGAACAUUUUGUGAUUCUUCUAGUCUACUGGAGGAAGAAGCUACUGUGAGAAGCUAUUAUCAUCACCCAUCAUGUCCAUGUGUGCUUGAAGGCCAUUAUACUUCAAAACAUACUAAGCUAUGUUGAUAGAUGAAACUCUACAUCCUGUUCUAAAAAUAGGUCUGCCAUCUAUGAAUCUGCUGAUAUACAUUCUUAAACUUAGUUUCUUAACAGCUGAUAUCCUUCAUAUUGUCUGGCAUUCACAUUCAAUUUCUCCUCUCAAUAUUAUGUUUUGUAAAUGGAACAAGAACUGCUGGGAACCAGUUUGUUUAUUUGGUUUGGAUUGUUUUUGGUUUGUUUUCUUUCCUUUCAGUAUGUUUAAAAUUUGAUUGUAAUAUUAAUGUGUAUCUACUUAGACUUUGAACUAACCUUAACAUCUAUGAGGCUUUGGUCUUACAUCUGCAUAACUGAUGGUGUGUAGGUAAAAAACUUGAAGAUUGAAAGACCUCAAAAUUAAAUAAAAAUAUCCUCAAAACA